GGUGAAUUCAUGUGCACAUCUGUGAGAGGAUGGGGGAGGACACAGAAUCAGAGGAAAAAGGGUGACAAAGUGCAGCAGUGGAGUGCACCAGCUGCACUGGAGUUUGAUGAAAACUCAAAGAUGCUGAAGUGGUUGUGGACUGAAAUUCCGCAUCCAAGGCCUGUGACUUAGUGUAUGUGGCAUCAUAUUGUCUCCUUUUCUUUUGACUCUUCCACAGUGAAGCAGGAACCUGGAUCUGAUGACACCUUGUGCCACAUUCACAAAGCUGCCACGUGAACCCUCUGUAGCUACUUUAACAGAAUGUGAAGCCACAGACAGGGUUGUACCAUCACUAAGGUGUGACUAUCUCUUCCUGUUGCUGUGGGAGGACAGCCAGUGGACCUUCUUUACCAGUUCUGUGGUAGCUCAGUUUCUUUCUCAAGUUUCCUCUAUUGCAGUUGUCCCAGGGUCUAGAUGUCUGGCUCCUGUACAUUCUCUGAUGACUGAGUGGAAAGUUGUCUCAACUGGAUCAACUCAUCCAGUAGCAAUCCAUUUCUGCAGCUCCAUGAUGCUGCAGAGCCCUCCCUGCCUAUUGAUAGAACAGGUAAGGUAGCUAGUUCCCAAGAGCUAGGGAAAUCCUCUCCUUCCAAACUUUGCCAGCUUUGGUGCUUUGGUUAGUUCAUCUUGGGCAGUAUGUUUCAAAUCUCCCAUGUCUUGUUUGAUGUGAGCACAGGUACAGCACAGCCACAUGGAUAGAGUAGGGACUGGUUUGUUAAUUUUUUUCCCUACAUUUCCAUUUUCUGUGCCAUUUAGUUCUAGGAUUUGAACUCAGGACCUGGAUGCUGUCCCUGAUCUUAUUGCGCUCAAGGCUAAAGUUCUACCACUUG